rnacentral:tRNA from 1 species
GAAGAUGCUGCUCAUGGGAGAGCAACUGCGCUUGAACCGCAGAGUGCGGCAGGGAUGUCGUAGGGGUUCGAUCCCUCCAUCUUCC